rnacentral:rRNA from 1 species
CCUACGGGCGGCAGCAGUGGGGAAUAUUGGACAAUGGGGGCAACCCUGAUCCAGCCAUGCCGCGUGUGUGAAGAAGGCCCUCGGGUUGUAAAGCACUUUCAGUGAGGAAGAACGCCUGGUGGUUAAUACCCAUCAGGAAAGACAUCACUCACAGAAGAAGCACCGGCUAACUCCGUGCCAGCAGCCGCGGUAAUACGGAGGGUGCGAGCGUUAAUCGGAAUUACUGGGCGUAAAGCGCGCGUAGGUGGCUUGAUAAGCCGGUUGUGAAAGCCCCGGGCUCAACCUGGGAACGGCAUCCGGAACUGUCAAGCUAGAGUGCAGGAGAGGAAAGUAGAAUUCCCGGUGUAGCGGUGAAAUGCGUAGAGAUCGGGAGGAAUACCAGUGGCGAAGGCGGCCUUCUGGACUGACACUGACACUGAGGUGCGAAAGCGUGGGUAGCAAACAGGAUUAGAUACCCUGGUAGUC